rnacentral:rRNA from 1 species
AUGGACCCAAAGAAAUCAAUAGAUGAUAAAUUCUCUAAGUUGCAUCCAAGUUUGCCAAUAGACACUAGAAUUGGCAUAGUGGGAGCAGGGCCAAGUGGCUUAUCAGCAGCCUACGCACUAGCUAAACUCGGGUACUGCAAUGUAACCGUGUUUGAGAAAUGCAAGACUGUUUCAGGGAUGUGUGAGUCCAUUGACAUAGAAGGAAGAACAUAUGACUUGGGAGGACAAGUUAUAGCAGCAAACAGUGCGCCUGCUAUAACUCACCUGGCAAAAGAGGUAGGAGCUGAAUUCGAGGAGAUGGAUUCACACAGGCUUGCUCUGAUCGACAGCCAAACUGGAAAUAUUCGAGAUCUUGAAGUAGCUGAGGACUAUGUAUCCAUGGUAUCUCUGACGCUAAAACUACAGGAUGAAGCAAAUAAGUCAGGCCGAGUGGGCAUCCAUGCUCUCAGUGGAUUGGCUUCUGACCCAACUCCUCAGUUUUUGAGGCAGCAUGGGAUAAAUUCAGUUCCGAAAUCUGUAGCAUAUGGAUACACAGCUUCUGGCUAUGGUUUUGUUCAAGACAUGCCCUAUGCUUUCAUUCAAGAAUUCACUAGAACCUCUAUGGCUGGCAAAAUCCGACGUUUCAAGCAUGGCUACAUGAGCAUGUGGGAGAAACUUAGUCAGUCAUUACCAUUUGAAGUUCUUUGUGGCACGGAGGUUUUGAGAGUCAGGCGCAGCAGCAAUGGUGCAAGUGUAACCAUUAAGAAGGACAAUGGUGACAAACAAGUAAUGGAGUUUGACAAAAUUAUAUUCUCAGGUGCUCUUGCUUUUAAAAAUGGCAAUACAUAUCGAUCUUCUAGUCUCACUGAUGGAGAAAGUGAAGUGGUGGAACUGAAUGAUCUCGAAAGAGAACUAUUCAGUAAGGUACAGACAGUGGACUACUAUACUACUGUUGUUAAGAUCAAUGGAUUUGAGCACAUGCCAAAGGGAUUUUACUACUUUGGAGAAUUCAUGGAGGAUCCAGCAACAAUAGGGCAUCCAGUGGCAAUGCAAAAAUUCUUUGAUGGCACGGACAUUUUCUUGUUCUGGUCUUAUGGGAAUUCAGCAGACAUCAACGGUUCAUAUGUGGCUAAAUGUGUGACGGACAUUGUGAGUUCUAUGGGAGGCACUGCUCAGAAUGUGCUUUUGCAGCGUCGAUUCAAGUAUUUCCCUCAUGUUAACAGUGAAGACAUGAAAGAUGGAUUCUAUGAGAGGCUUGAAUCUGAGUUGCAAGGCUUUCAGAACACUUACUAUGUUGGAGGUCUGCUAGCAUUUGAGCUUACCGAAAGAAAUGCUUCAUACUCCAUUGCGGCUGUUUGUAAACACUUUGCCAUCGAUGUUGAGCAAACUGUAACUCCUUAUGUCAAGAGACUAUUUUCUCUGUCCCACAACAGCAACCCUUCACCUCCUAGAGAUCUUGGUGAGCUUGAAGGUGUUGAAUUUCCCGACCUUCCAUCCCUGGAUGGAUACUUGCAAUAUUGGGGAACUCACAGGGUCACCAAGGAAAAUGUCAUCUAUACUUGGAUCAAUGAAGAAGGAAAAAUCAUGAACCGAAGAACCUACCAGGAACUUCAUGAGAAUGCAUCUCACAUUGCACACAAACUAUUGACAAGCACGAAGCCUAUUAUCAAGCCUGGUGACAGAGUUAUCCUUAUUCACCUCCCAGGUCUGGAGUUUAUUGAUGCAUUCUUUGGGUGCAUUAGAGCAGGAGUCAUACCAGUCCCAGUUAUUCCCCCUGAUCCAAUGCAAAUGGGUGGGCAAGCACUUCUCAAAGUCGAGAACGUCUCUAAAGUGUGCAGUGCUGUGGCAAUUCUGUCAACUUCUUCGUACCAUGCUGCCGUACGUGCAGGUUAUGUCAAGAACAUUGUCACUCUAGCAAAGAAUCAGAAAUGCUCUGCGCAGUGGCCUGACCUCCCGUGGAUUCACACCGAGUCAUGGAUCAAGAACUACCGGCGAAGUCCAGACACCUUCAACUCAGACAAUGUUUUAUCUAUGAUGACCAAGCCCCAGCCAAGUGACUUGUGCUUUCUGCAGUUCACUUCGGGUUCCACUGGUGAUGCCAAGGGGGUGAUGAUAACACAUGGAGGACUAAUCCACAAUGUGAAGAUGAUGAAGAAGCGGUAUCAAAGUACCUCAAAAACUGUCCUUAUCAGCUGGCUUCCACAGUACCAUGACAUGGGACUAAUAGGGGGUAUUUUUACUGCUCUUGUAAGUGGAGGAACUUCCAUUCUAUUCUCGCCGAUGACAUUCAUCAGGAACCCCCUCCUGUGGCUGCAAACAAUCAGUGACUACCAUGGAACCCAUAGUGCAGGUCCAAACUUUGCAUUUGAACUUGUGAUAAGAAGGCUUGAAGCCGAGAAGAGCAAAGUAUAUGACCUCUCUUCAAUGAUCUUCCUCAUGAUUGCAGCAGAACCAGUAAGGCAAAAAACUGUCAGAAGGUUCAUAGAGUUGACUCAACCUUUGGGCCUUUCUGAAGGUGUUCUUGCACCUGGAUAUGGGCUGGCUGAGAACUGUGUCUAUGUUUGUUGUGCCUUUGGUGAAUGCAAGCCGGUCUUCAUAGAUUUGCAAGGAAGAGUUUGUUGUGGGUAUAUUGAGCAAGAUGAUACAGAUAUUGACAUCAGAAUUGUUGAUGCAGACUCUUUGAUUGAGCAUCAAGAUGGUACUGAGGGUGAGAUAUGGAUCAGCAGUCCUAGUUCUGGAGUUGGUUAUUGGGGCAACCAGGAAAUGAGCCAGAAAACUUUCUGCAAUCAGCUCAAGAACCACCCCAACAAGAAGUUCACAAGAACCGGUGAUUUAGGGCGGAUCAUUGACAGCAAACUUUUUAUUACUGGAAGGAUCAAAGAUCUAAUCAUUGUUGCUGGCAGAAAUAUUUAUUCUGCAGAUGUAGAGAAGACGGUGGAAAAUUCUUCCGAUGUCCUCCGGCCAGGAUGUUGUGCUGUUGUUGGUGUCCCAGAGGAAGUUCUGACUCAGAAAGGCAUCUCAAUUCCUGAUUCUUCUGAUCAGGUUGGACUUGUCGUGAUUGCAGAGGUUAGGGAGGGUAAGACAGUCUCUGAAGAAAUCAUUGACAACAUCAAAACACGUGUGGCGGAGGAGCAUGGUGUAACUGUUGCAUCGGUCAAGCUUAUCAAGCCUAGAACCAUAUCCAAGACAACAUCCGGGAAGAUACGGAGAUUUGAAUGCAUGAAGCAGUUUGUUGACAACAGUCUUAGUUUGGCCAAUGGUAAUCGUCCAUCUAAAAGGAGUCUAUUCCGGUCUCUAACAACAGGAACCGGCAUGGAGAGAAGGAGGUCAUUCUUGAAGCAGACUGUUGAUCCCACCAUUCAUCCUCAGUCAGAAAGCAAAGUGAAGAACUCCAAGCAGAUAACUGAGUUUCUGACACAGUUAGUAUCAGAUCAAUCAGGUAUUCCAAAGGACAAAAUUUCUCCAACAGGCAGCCUACCUUCUUAUGGCUUUGAUUCGAUUGCAGUGGUUCGAGCAGCUCAGAAGCUCUCAGAUUUUCUCGGUAUUCCUGUUGGAGCCAUUGAUAUCUUUGCUGCAAGCUGCAUUUCUGAGCUUGCUAGCUUCUUGGAGAAUUUGUUGAGUAAGUCACAACCAAAGUUGACACCUCAUCCCAACAGCCAGGGGAAAAGCUCGAGGGAGAUCAUUGAGUUUCUGACACAGAUAGUAUCAGAUCAAUCAGGUAUUCCAAAGGAUAAAAUUUCUCCAACAGGCAGCCUACCUUCAUAUGGUUUCGAUUCAAUUGCUGUGGUCCGAGCAGCACAGAAGCUCUCAGAUUUUCUUGGUACUCCUGUUGGAGCGAUUGACAUCUUUGCAGCAAGCUGUAUUUCUGAGCUUGCUAGCUUUUUGGAGAAGUUGUUGCCCAAGUCACAACCACUUUUGGCAUCUGAUGUAUCUUGCUCUACUGAGGAUGAGAGUUUAGUAGAUGUCAGUGCAGAUUUCAGUGUGCUUGCUACAGGGAUUCUCCAACUCCUGGCCCUUACCUAUGUGUGUUUCAUGUUGCUACUUCCAGCAUACCUUGCAAGUUUGGCAUACAUGAGCGUGUUCUACCCGGUCAGUCUGGUUGAAGCAUCAGUGAUGACUUAUCUUGGUUCGUUGGUCAUGGCACCUAUUGCUUGGAUUUGUUAUGUCUUGCUCACCUCCUUAUCAUUGUCUAUCUUGGGGAAGUCACUCCUUCAGCCAAAUUAUGGUCUGACCCCUGAUGUUUCGAUAUGGUCAGUUGACUUUGUUAAAUGGUGGGCACUGAACAAGGCUCAAGGGUUUGCUGCAAAGAUGCUAGCUGUGCAUCUAAAGGGAACAAUCUUCUUGAAUUAUUGGUUCAAGAUGCAAGGGGCUCGAAUUGGGUCAUCUGUUGUUAUUGACACAGUAGACAUCACUGACCCAUCCUUGUUAGUGGUUGCAAAUGGUGCAAUGAUUGCAGAAGGUGUUCUCAUCCAGGGGCAUGAAGUCCGUAAUGAAGUGCUGAGUUUUAGGCGUGUCAGAAUCGGUCGUGAGGCCUCCAUUGGUCCUUAUGCGGUGCUUCAAAAGGGCACCGUUGUGGAUGAUGGUGCUAUGGUCCCACCACUGCAAAAAACUGAGCCAGGGAAAUCAGUGUAUCAGAAUAAGAGAACUUCUGCAGACAUGAAGGAAGAAACAGGGAAAGCAAACAUGCUUCUUGAACACCUGGUUUGCAUCUAUGCGGUUGCGUUGCUAGGUGCUCUAUCAAGUGCAACCGUCUACACGUUUUACAUUCACUUCUCUGGCACUGAGGCUUCACCUCAGCACUUCUCUUUUGCAUGCAUUGCGGGCGCAUUCCACUGGUUACCAGCUGCCCUCGCCGCUUACCCUGUGAUUGUGCGGGAGGCGCCCACAAGCGCAUUGACAUUUGCUCUCUCCAUCGCCUUCGCCUACUUGAGCUACGGUGUCAUCCUCAGUCUUCUUACAAGUAUGGUCAACACAGCCCUCGCCACAAGGCCGGGAACCAAGCAAAACCAUAUGACAAGCUUGAUCCAGCGACGUAUAAACGUCGCUGUGCACCUCAGAUUUGCAAAGAUGUUAUCUGGAACUGAAGCAUUCUGCAUGUACUUAAGGCUUCUUGGUGCAAAGAUUGGCAGGCAUUGCUCUAUCCGGUCCAUUGAUCCAGUGGCGAAUCCUGAACUGAUCAAUAUUGGUGAUGGGGUCCAUCUAGGUGAUUUCUGCCACAUUGUUCCAGGGUUCUACUCCAGUAAGGGGUUUACUGGUGCGGAGAUAAAGGUCCAGGAGAACACCAUCAUUGGUAGUGGCAGCUUGCUCCUUCCUGGCUCAGUCCUCCAAGGGAAUGUCAUCCUUGGAGCACUUUCUGUGGCACCAGAACAUUCUCUUCUCCAGAGAGGCGGAAUCUAUGUUGGGGCACAAUCUCUGACCAUGGUGAAGAACACCUUGCUUGCAGAAGAUGAGAGGAUUGAAAUGAUGGACCCGAUGUACAAGAAGAUUGUUGGGAACCUCUCGGCGAACUUGGCAAUCACCACCAUGAACGUCAAGUCAAGGUACUUCCACCGCAUUGGCGUAAGCGGGCGGGGGGUCCUGAAAAUGUACGAGGACAUUCCAUCUCUGCCCAAGCACAAGAUAUUUGGCGCCGGCAAGUCUUUCCCAGUAAUCGUCCGGCACAGUAAUAGCCUCAGUGCAGAUGAUGAUGCCAGGCUCGAUGCGCGUGGUGCAGCAGUGCGCAUUCUCUCAGACGAUGGCGAGGUGCCUCUUCUGGACCUUACUUUGAAGAGUGGCAAAGCAUUUUAUGCACGCACAAUCGCCGACUUCGCCACUUGGCUGGUUUGUGGCCUGCCAGCGAGGGAAGAGCAUGUCAAGCGUGCUCCACACGUCCGGGAUGCUGUCUGGGGCUCCCUGCGGGACACCAACUCGUACACCGAGCUGCAUUACUACUCCAACAUAUGCCGGCUGCUGCGGUUUGAUGAAGGGAAGGAGAUGUAUGCAAAAUUCAAGCUUCGUCCUGUUGAUCAAGACAUACCGGAGGAGUCCGGUCAGGUGGUGCCAAGGGGUAUCUUGCCGCCGGAAACCGGUGCAAUCCCAAGAGAUGAGGGUGACACACGCCCUUUACUCUUCCUCGCCGACGACUUCCGUCGGAGGGUGGAAGUUCCAGACGGGGUGCGCUACGUCUUCCAACUGCAGCUCAGGGAGGUGCCCUCUGACGACGCCACCUGUGACGUCGCCCUUGACUGCACGCGGCCAUGGGACGAGGAGGAGUUCCCAUACAUCGACAUCGGAGAGAUAAGCAUCGACAACAAUCUCCCAGCAGAGGAGACGGAGAAGCUCGAGUUCAACCCCUUCCUCCGGUGCCAAGAGGUGGACGUCAUCCCGGCGUCGUCCUGCAAGCAGAGCGCGUCCAUCGACCACGGGCGCUCGCUGAUUUACGAGAUAUGCCAACGCCUGCGGAACGGCGAGCCACUGCCUGCGUCAUGGGCGGCUUUCCUGGAGCAGUCCGACACCAAUAUCAACCUGUCGGGGUGCCCAGUGGCCGCCGCCAUGCACACAAGAUCCGACACUGCCAAUGCCAGCGAGACCAAGGUGACCCUGGCCAGGACAUGGUACAAGGCGCUCUGGGCCACGCUGUGCCAGCCGCUGCUGCAAACGCUGGUGCCAUACUUUGUCCUGGGCCUGGUCAUCUUCCUCCCAUUCCGGGGCCUCCUUGCCGUCGCCGGGGCCACUGGCACGCCGCUGUACUGGCUGCUGCCGGUCUUCUGGCCCGUGUCGGGCUUGGCCGCCAUGGCGACAUGCGCCGCGGCAAAGUGGGUCCUGGUCGGUGUCAGGGGCGAGGGCGACGCGGUGCACAUCUGGGCGCCGCAGGUGUUCCUGGACACGGUCUGGCAGGCCAUACGGACGGCGACGGCGGAGUACUUCGCGGAGCUAACGUGCGGGUCGGUGCUGUUCGCGGCGUGGAUGCGGCUGAUGGGGUCGUCGGUGGCCGUGGCCGACGGCGUGUACGUGGACUCGAUGGGGGCGCUGCUGAACCCGGAGAUGGUGCACCUGGAGCGGGGCGCGAGCGUGGGGCACGACGCGCUGCUGUUCGGGCACGUAUACGAGGGCGAGGCCGGGAAGGUGAAGUUCGGCAGGGUCCACGUCGGGGAGGAUGGGUUCGUGGGCAGCCGGGCGGUGGCGAUGCCGGGCGUGAAGGUGGAGGACGGCGGCUACCUGGGCGCCCUGUGCCUGGCCAUGAAGGAGGAGAUCGUCAGGCACAAGCUAUAG